CGCCAGCAAAGAAUUAUCCAAUCCAAAAUGUCAAGAGUGCUGAGGUUGAGAAACCCUGAACAAGAAAAAGUCCUUGGAAGGUGCCUUCAGCCACAGCCCAACCUCCGGUCCCUCAGCUGAAGAGGAAAGUAGCUGCUUGGUAAGCUUUUGCUGACUGAACGCACGUCCUGUUCUUGGUACCAGGCCGCUCUGGAGACCUGAAGGCUAUUCCUGGGCAGCUUCAACACGCUCUUCUCUGGAAGGAGCCAGGCCAGCCCUGCCUCCCCCGUCCCCUCCCUCUCUGGUCUCCAGGGACUCACCCACGGGGUCCACGAGGUCGAUGUGGUCCACAAAGUCCCGCUUUCCCAGAUAGACGAUGAGGACACUGAGGCCUGCAGGGAUCUUCAUGCCAAGCACCACUGAGGGUGGAGUGGCAGCAGCAAAGAAGUCUGCUGAGAGGGGGUGCUGGGUGCAUCUCUGCAAGGACGGGGGGACCCAGAGCAGGGCCAGCAGCGCCAAGAGGGUGCUCUGAACACUGAGCUCUGUGCCCUUCACUGCUCCCGGCCUCUGUGCAGCCUGCAGAGAUCCACUCGAAGGAGGACUUGUUUUCUGAGGCAACAGAGCGUGCAGGUCCUUCGCGGCAGUAAAGAUGCUGGAAGAGAGGAUGAGAGUUUGAGGACAGAGAGGAGCCGGGGUGCGGCUGCUACAGACUCACCUUUCCAUUGGGGCUCGCCUUCUUGAACACCCUGGGGAGAGAAAGAGCGGGAAGGCCAGCACUCACCACUUCUAACCCACUACAUAACUGACUCUCGGAUUACAUUUAUGCCUGUCUACUCUGCUAAUGUCAUCUCCACGAGGGCAGGGAUCUUUGUCU